rnacentral:rRNA from 1 species
AGUGAACGCUGGCGGUGGGCCUAACACAUGCAAGUCGAACGGCAGCACAGUAAGAGCUUGCUCUUACGGGUGGCGAGUGGCGGACGGGUGAGGAAUACAUCGGAAUCUACUUUUUCGUGGGGGAUAACGUAGGGAAACUUACGCUAAUACCGCAUACGACCUACGGGUGAAAGCAGGGGAUAUUCGGACCUUGCGCGAUUGAAUGAGCCGAUGUCGGAUUAGCUAGUUGGCGGGGUAAAGGCCCACCAAGGCGACGAUCCGUAGCUGGUCUGAGAGGAUGAUCGGCCACAUGGGAGCUGAGACACGGUCCAGGCUCCUACGAGAGGCAGCAGUGGGGAAUAUUGGACAAUGGGCGCAAGCCUGAUCCAGCCAUACCGCGUGGGUGAAGAAGGCCUUCGGGUUGUAAAGCCCUUUUGUUGGGAAAGAAAAGCAGCAGGUUAAUACCCCGCUGUUCUGACGGUACCCAAAGAAUAAGCACCGGCUAACUUCGUG